rnacentral:lncRNA from 1 species
AAAAAACCAGCGUAUUUCUGGCGGCCGCUUCCUGACGGCCUGGCCGCCGGUAGUUAGGACCAGCGGCUAGGCCGCCGGAAAAUAACACUAGUCCGCCGGUACAAUUUUCCCCACUUAAAUGUGAGAAAUGAGCUGGUGGCCAGGCCGCCGGGACCUUUUUUUGUUAAGUUACCGGCGGCCAGGCCGCCAGAAAAUUUUCCCCAUGUAAUUGAGAGAAAUUUUCUGGCAGCCAGGCCGUCAGGAAUUUCAGGAAACCCUAAAAAUUUUCCAUUUGCGCCGCCGUGGUUCUCUGUACAGUCAACCCUAGUCAACUAUAACUUAACUAUUUCCUGACGGCCAGGCCGCCAGGAUUUUUUAUAUAUAUAAAAAAAAUUUCAGAUUUCUUUCAUUUCUCCCAACUUCUACCCACUCCUCCCCAACUCUUUUCCGACGAUUUGAGCACAUCUGGUCAUCUUUCCAAGGUAUUUUACUCUCCUUCUUCAUCUUCCUCUUCUUCUUCUUCUCCAUCUUCUUCUUCUUCUUCUUCUUCUUCGAUCUUGUCC